GAUGGGUGAGUAACACGUGGGCAACCUACCUUAUCGACUGGGAUAACUCCGGGAAACCGGGGCUAAUACCGGAUAACAUCUAGCACCUCCUGGUGCCGGAUUAAAAGAGGGCUUCUUGCUCUCACGAUGAGAUGGGCCCGCGGCGCAUUAGCUAGUUGGAGAGGUAAUGGCUCCCCAAGGCGACGAUGCGUAGCCGACCUGAGAGGGUGAUCGGCCACACUGGGACUGAGACACGGCCCAGACUCCUACGGGAGGCAGCAGUAGGGAAUCUUCCGCAAUGGACGAAAGUCUGACGGAGCAACGCCGCGUGAGUGAUGAAGGGUUUCGGCUCGUAAAGCUCUGUUAUGAGGGAAGAACACGUACCGUUCGAAUAGGGCGGUACCUUGACGGUACCUCAUCAGAAAGCCACGGCUAACUACGUGCCAGCAGCCGCGGUAAUACGUAGGUGGCAAGCGUUGUCCGGAAUUAUUGGGCGUAAAGCGCGCGCACGCGGCCUUUUAAGUCUGAUGUGAAAUCUUGCGGCUCAACCGCAAGCGGCCAUUGGAAACUGGGAGGCUUGAGUACAGAAGAGGAGAGUGGAAUUCCACGUGUAGCGGUGAAAUGCGUAGAUAUGUGCAGGAACACCAGUGGCGAAGGCGACUCUCUGGUCUGUAACUGACGCUGAGGCGCUAAAGCAUGAGGAGCACACAGGAUUAGAUAGUCUGCUAGUCCACGCCGUAGAC
rnacentral:rRNA from 2 species